AAAAGGAGCUUGCUUGGAAGAAAGUGAGUGAGGAGGACGGAGAACCUGAACAUCCAGGUCCCAUCCCUGAUGAUGGUGAAGGCAGUGAUGCGGGCCACCUGUCGCUGCCAGAACCUGCUGCUGCUUCUGCCCCUCCUGAACCUGCCGUUGAAGCCCCUUCCACAUCGGCUGCUUUGCCCAGAGUGACCUCAAGGAGGAGGCCACCAAAAAGGUCGAGGGAGCA